GGGAGGGUUACCAUGGUAACUGGGGGUCGCUGCGUGGUCUAGCCUCUCUGGCCAGGCAGGCUGCCCACAAUGGUUGGCCCAUUUACAAGCGUCCUGUUGCCCCUCCACUCCCGAAGUUGACCUCGCAAUGCCUGUUCGCCACCGCUUACCCAUGAGGGCACCCUGUAUCCUCUCCACAAUAGAAACAUCCUACAGUCUCUGCUUCCACCCAUCCCAGGACAGGUUCUAAGAAAAGCCUAAAAGACUUUCUGGGUCUCAUCUUUCAAAGAGUUUUCCACUACAGCUUCCUACCAAAAUUUGCUCAGGUAGGUUCUCUCCAUUUCCUGGAAAUCAAUGAAGGAAACUAUUGGGGUGGAAGAGACAGACAAGUUGAUCAAGUCCUCAUUCUAUUUAGCAUCAAUUGUUAACUUAAAUAUUCUAUUUACAAUACCAAUGUUUCCCCUAUUUGAGAGUCAGCAUGCACCAUUAACCUGGGCGUGAUGGCCCAGACCUGUAAAAUCCCAGCAACGAGGCAGGAGGAUCCCAAGUUUGAGGCCUGCCUGGGCAACCUAAAGAGAUCCUGUAUUAAAAUUUAAAAAAUAACAAUUGUAAAGCACCCCUGGGUUCAAUCCCCAAUAUCCCCCUUUACCCCCACCUUGCAAAAUAUAUAUAUAUAUACCAUUAAUUGACUUACCAGCCCCUUCAAGUUUUGGAAUGACUCAGGACUUGGUAAUUUAAUGAUCACUUACAGUCCUUUCUGCAGAUAUGCCCCCAUUCUAUCAGGAAGGAAUUCUUAUUGCAGAUUCCUGUCACUAGAUCCUUUGUGCAACAGCAAGAUAGAGGUGCCUGGAAAACUACUGUGGUAUUGAACCUCCAUUCUAUAAUGACUUUCACCAAUUUCACUGCCUCUACUGCAUGAGGUAUCCCAAGGAACUAGAUCCUGCUCCUACAGGCACUGCUAUGCAGGAUUUCUGGAAAUACAAUAAUAAGCUUGAGCCAGGCUCUAUGGCAAACCAUUGUAAACCCAGCAACUGGGGAGGUUGAGGCAGGAGGAUCACAAGUUUGAGGGCAGCCUGGGCAACUUAGAGAAACCAGUCUCAAAGAAGCUAAAAAGGGAUGGGGAAACCAGGAUUGGUGGCACAUGCCUGAAAUCCCAGCAGCUUGGGAGACUAAGACGGGAGGAUUUAGAGUUCACAGCCAGCCUCAGCAACUUGGAGGGAACUAAGCAACCCAGUGAGACCCUGCCUGUAAAUAAAAUACAAAACAGGGCUGGGGAUGUGGCUCAGUGGUAAGUGCCCCUGGGUUUAACCUCCAAUACCAAAAGAAAAAAGGUAGAAAAAAAGAGAAAGACUUGAGGUAUAUUUUUCUUCCCUUGCUGGUACUGGGAAUCAAAACCAGAGUCUUCACACACUAGACAAACGCUUUAUCACUGAGUUACAUCCCCAGCCCAGCCAGACUUGAAAAUUUUAUUUUCCCCUCUAUUUCUUUGUAUUCCUUCAUCCUUCUCAGUAAGUAAUAAUGAUAAAUUUCUCCUCUGGUGCAGCUCUUUUCCCCUACAGAAUUAGCAUAUAGAAUAGGACUUAGAAUCAAGAAUCCUAACCCUUAAAAGUGUUGGAAAGACAAUUGUAGUGUAAUAUCUGGGUCUGAUUCUAAGGAUGCCCCCUCCAGAGAAUCUGCCUUCCUCUCUCUUUUUGAAAUACUAAAUAAUGACCUUAUUCAGAAGAAAAAAACUUGGACCAACAAUAAAUUUUCUUGGUAGGGUACUUUGAUUUCUCCCACAGUAACUGCAAAGGAAGAGCAGGGUUCUGACUCUACACUUGAUGGCCUAAUUUUUCCAGCUGGCUUUAAAGAAAUCUCAUCCCAAGGUGGAAGUGAGAUUUCCUUAUCUGGACACUGAUCAGCAGGGGGCACUAUUGCACCUCUCUGGGCCCCAGUGAAGAAGCUGAAGCCCUUGUCCUAGACAACCCAAAGGGGUGUUGAGAGCACCACUGCGUUCCUGAGGCUGGUGGACUUGAACAGAUAAUCUCCUCUUGAUCCAGGGAAACAGAUGGGCUGACUCCUGAUAGCCUUUAAGAACAUGAUGGAUAGGCAGCAAGGGGCCCAGUGCUAUUGUUUUCCUGGUGACAAACAAUAUAAUAUAUCAACAAGUUUAUAUGUCCAGGUCUGUUCCUUCUCCCCCCAUCUCUCCCAAUGCCUAUUCCUAAAAAAGGGUGUUAUGACUCUUGUGUCCUAACCAUUGUACUCCUCUUACCUGUUUCUCCCUAAACAGCUUCUGAUUUCAUCUCAGAUUAAGAGGGCCUUAGGCAUGGUUGCACAACAGUGUAAAUGUAUAUGUAGUGUCGCUGUGUACUUAAAAGAUGGUUAAAGUGGCAAAUUUUAUGUAUUUAUAUUUUGGCACAAUUUUUAAAACAAUAUUAGACAAUCUUGGAGAAGUACAAAAAAUAAAGUUUGGAUUGACC
rnacentral:lncRNA from 1 species